GACGAACGCUGGCGGCGUGCUUAACACAUGCAAGUCGAACGCUGAAGCUUGGUGCUUGCACUGGGUGGAUGAGUGGCGAACGGGUGAGUAAUACGUGAGUAACCUGCCCUUGACUCUGGGAUAAGCCUGGGAAACUGGGUCUAAUACUGGAUACGACAUGCCACUGCAUGGUGGUGUGUGGAAAGGGUUUUACUGGUUUUGGAUGGGCUCACGGCCUAUCAGCUUGUUGGUGGGGUAAUGGCUCACCAAGGCGACGACGGGUAGCCGGCCUGAGAGGGUGACCGGCCACACUGGGACUGAGACACGGCCCAGACUCCUACGGGAGGCAGCAGUGGGGAAUAUUGCACAAUGGGCGAAAGCCUGAUGCAGCGACGCCGCGUGAGGGAUGACGGCCUUCGGGUUGUAAACCUCUUUCAGCACGGAAGAAGCGAAAGUGACGGUACGUGCAGAAGAAGCGCCGGCUAACUACGUG
rnacentral:rRNA from 1 species